GACUAGCCAGGGUCACUUCUGGGCGGGAGAGGAAGAAGGAAGGUCCCGGAGAUUCUGCUUCCAUCCAAUUCAAUCCCACCUCUAAAGACCAAGAAUAAAGAACCUCCACAUUAUCUUGGCAAUAAGGUCAUAGAGGGGUUGAGGAUUUUUCCUGCAGUAAGGACGAUACAGGAGUUGAUCCCACCAAUGUUUGACCCAAUAUGGAUCAAUACCAAGGAACAGCACUAACCCAUAGAGAUCUAAAAAAGAAAGGAAAAAACAAGUCUAGAGAGCUACAGAGACUCUGCUCUCAUUUCCCAUGGAAAGGAUACUGCAGCAUCAGUCUUGGAUUCUGCUGAGCCUGAGCACUCCAGACACUUUUCUAAGAUUGUGAUAUGUAUUCAUCCUCUGUAACAAGGUGGUACAGAAGAGUGUGUGCUGGAUCUGAAAUCAAAAGACUGGAGUUCAAAAUUGGCCUCAGACACUUACUAGCUGUGACCCUAAUAAAUAUUUUUGAGAUUU